UACAGAGGGUGCAAGCGUUGUUCGGAAUUAUUGGGCGUAAAGCGCGUGUAGGCGGUCUUGUAAGUCAGAUGUGAAAUCCCUCAGCUUAACUGAGGAAGUGCGUUUGAAACUGCUUGACUUGAGUACUUGAGGGGGUGUUGGAAUUCCAGAAGUAGAGGUGAAAUUCGUAGAUAUCUGGAGGAACACCAGUGGCGAAAGCGAACACCUGGCAAGUAACUGACGCUGAGACGCGAAAGCGUGGGUAGCAAACAGG
rnacentral:rRNA from 1 species